GUGAUAUGGACUUUGGCAAUUUUAAGAUCCUGCAAAAUCUCCUAGAAAAUGCGCUUUAUACCAUAUACAGUACAAACAUUCACUAAAGUGAGAAUUGAAAGUGAAUUCUAAGUAAAUUUCAAAUUUAAGGUUAAAAACUACUGAAUUGGAAAAAAGUUUCAGUUCAGCAACUUUUGCCUUAAAUUAGAAAUUUACUUUGAAUACACUUUAAAUUCUCACUUUAGUUAAUAAACCUGAAAGAAUGUAUAGACCGCUGUUCACAUGACAUCUAUCACCUGUUAAACUUUAUCUACACAUGUUAGUUUAAAUUGUCUAGUAGAGAGACUACUUGCUGUAGGCUUUGCUGACGCUGUUGCUGCCCCCUAGUGCUUGAUUCAGUAAAAAGCAGUUGGUUUUCUAAAGACCAGCAUUUUAAAUUUGGACUGACUUUGGACUAGCAGGAGUGGCCAAAAAGUAGAUUCUUUGCUGUUGCAGAACAGUUCCAAUAUUGCUUUGCCAGUCAAAGCAAAUUAUCAUAGGGCUUUUACUUUUACUACAGCUCAAGAUCUGCCUCCUGAUACCCUUGAUCUAGAAAAAUGAGGAUUUUUAUACAAACAAUUUAAAAACGUGUUCUUUUGUUUCAAAUUGAAAAUUGAACUAACUUUGUUUUCAGUUCCAGAUUAAAAUGUGUUCUUUUGUUGCAAAUAGUCAUUGUAAUGUGCAAUACAUUCAAUCCAGUUACAAAGUUAAAACAUUGUUAAAUCACAUAAAUCCUGGUACUUUCAAUGUAUAGGAUAAAUAAAUGUAAAACAAGUAUUAUGGGAAUACAAUACAAUUAAGGGUUUCCAGAGACACCAUGCUUCAGUUUUAAGUAUAUUUUACAAUACUUGAUUAUUUUUUUUCCAGUCAUGGUUAGUGGUAGGAUUCUUAUAAUCUCAGGACAUCACCAGAACAUUUUUGUCUCAGUCUGCCUACGUUUGAUGGGAAUUAUACUCCCAGGACACGUUUGAUGGGAGAUAUACUCCCAGGAGGCAGCAGCUGCUAUUGGGUACCAGUAUAUUUUGGCUUAUGUUUAAUAGUAUAGAUAAAGCUAUAUAAUCUUAAUAUUAACCAAAUAAAAGCUAUAAAUAUUGAUAAUGUUAUAAUGUGAAAUGAGACUACUCUUUUUGUAGCAAAAUUAAAAGACUAUAAAUAAUAGUUCAUUUUAAGUUGGUAUUUGGCGAGUUUAGGUUUUUAAUGGACACAGAGAGUUAAGCGAUUUAUAUAUAAUGUUAGAAGAUAAUUAUUGUACAUCUUUAUAAAUGUGACCACCUACAGAGUUGAGAGAAUGAAAUAUAAACACAGC